rnacentral:lncRNA from 1 species
AUUCCCCAAUGAGACAGUCUUUUUGAUCAGUUCUCUCAGAACCCUCUGCAGCAAUGAUCAGAGACUUGAACACCGAGGCAGACAAGCCUAUUUGGUAUUGAGCAAGAUUCAACAGAGAAAAUCCCCUGAGAAGAGGGCAUGCAGAAAGGAGCAAGGCCGAACAACUUUGACUUUCCUUUCUUGGAUUCAUUACAAACAACAUAGAUGUGGAUGCUCAAGUCCUCUGAUGGUCCUUAAAAAUAGACAGGUCUUUGAAAAGGAAGAAACAAAGUAAGAAAAAGCUCCAAGAGUAUUUGGAGCAAUUAUUAUUGACUGGAUGGAGAAGAUGGAAGAAAUCGCCUUUCAUUCAGGGCAUGGAAUCUCAACACUACAGCAGUUAUACCAAGUGGCCCAGCAUCAUCUUCCUGACCCCUCCCAUCGAUCCACAUAAAUAUACACAUUUUUUUCUUACAUUGGCCCAUGUAUGCUACUGAGAUAAACAUGCGCUAAGAGGAAAACCAAAUGAAAGCUUCUAUUGGUUGGCGAAAGGCAAGAUCCUCGUCUUUCCCGUCGGGUUGGAGGCUACUCUUCUCCCAAGUGCCCAUUAUGUGGCAGGUUCUCAGUAAUUAUUGAUCAAGAGAAAGAAGAUGGAUUCUUGCCCUCCAGGAGGUCACUUCCGAGGCAGUACAUAAGACAGCUGCAUACCAGGUAGCUGGUACUGACUGGCUGAUGAAUGACACACAGCACUGAGAGAGGGAAUGCUUCUGAUCAGAUCGAAAGGCAGGCUGCAUCGGAAAGUGGUGCUUCCAGCUGAAAUCACGGUGCCCUCUGUCUUCAGAGCACGGCUCAAUCAAUUACAAAUACCACUCCAGCUCUGGCCACUCGAACAGGGACAUCAUCUCCUCUUUCUUUUCUGAGUUAGAACUUCUGCCUUAUCAUGGUGAUAACUGACUACAUUAAAUUCCUUCUGAUGCUCCAACCAAUUAAUAGGAAUUUAGUGGCUCUACAAGAACUUUAGAUUGCCUCACAAUUGCUGUAGAAGCCAGCAUUUCUGAAUCAGUUUUAGCUGGCUAAAGUCGGGGACAUGGUCAGGGGAGCAGGGCUGGUCACCAACGCAGCUUUGGCAGAGAAUCACUUCCUGGUCUUUCUGUCGCCACUGCAUUCUGCCACACUCAGCCGUCAGCUCUCUCUUCAGACCCAGCGGUGAACACCCUUCCAUCUGUCUGUCAUCAGAAUUUCCCUCUACUUCACUCUCAAGAGGGAGUUUUUGUGGUUGCACUAAGUUGUGCCUGAAUAAUCUCCUCACUUCAGGAUCUCCAAGUAAACCCCAGCUACAAAUCUCAGGAGCCGAGCAUUCACAGUGUAAGGGGUAGGGCCCGGCGGGCAUUAUACCUUCGUGGAGCAGCCAGUAAAAAGAGAAAGGAGGUCACAUCUUACAAACCGUUUUUUUUUUUUCUUUCAUUGAACUUCAUUUCUGUGUAUGUAUUUGAGCUACUGUGUGUUACUAGUACUGUGGAAUGUGAGACCUCUAGUAUUUUUUCAAGAAUCAGAGAAGUAGAUCAAAAUGAUCCAGGAUGAAGUACAAAAGACAAGGGGCAAGGAAAGAAAUACUCAAAGCCUUUUAAAAUGGGAGCUCAGGGGCCAGUGUUGCCAGAAUCAUGCCUGCGGCCAUUUCUGAUCAACAGGAAGAAGACCUACAUGAAGAAUGGCACUGUGAGCUGAAGUGGGCAGAUGUUCUUUAAAUGAGCAAUUUUUACAUAAUUCACGGAGAGGGUUGAGUGGUGAGCUUAUAACAAUCUAUCUUUUUCCAAAAUUACUUUUAUUUUAACUACUCUAUGUAUAUGUUUGUAUUUUUGUGUAUGUAUAUGUGUAUUUCUGUAUAGGUGAGAAGAAGAAGUUGAACUCCCCCAGAACUGGAGUUACAGGUGGUCAUGAGCCACCUAAUAUGGGUACUGAGAACUAACUUUGGGUUCCUUGCAAUAGCAGCAAGCAUUCUUAACUGUUCUUCAUGGUAGAAUUUGGCCAUUCAAGUGAACACAUAAUUACUCUCAUCAGGAGACAUUUGCUAUGUACACAAUUGACUUUUGUGCAUAGUCUUUGGAGAGAUUUUAUUGAUUUUAGACUAUUAAAUUCCCCUUCCUCCACU